rnacentral:tRNA from 1 species
UGGGGUAUAGCCCAGGUAGGUUAAGGCGGCGGACUUUGACUCCGUUUACGAUGGUUCGAAUCCAUCUACCCCAGCCA